ensembl:lncRNA GNG12 G protein subunit gamma 12
ACGUGUCAGGGCGCGUUUAAUGGCUGCUCCCAGCGGAAACAAACGGGAAUUUAUUAGACCGUGUGGAGUUGGACAAACUUCACAUGAUUAGCUUCCUUCCCAUCAGUUACUUCCUCUCCCCCCUGCUGUCUUUGCCGACACAGUUUAUAUUUCCUGGGGCGGUUGUAGCUUCUCCUGAAUAGGCUGUGUAUAAUGAAUCUUUUGGAUGUCGUCAGAGGCAGGGUCUGCGUCUGUUCCUUCUCUGUUUUAAAAGCGGAGUUUGGCUUUGUUUUUAAAAGUGCUAGUCACCAGACUGCACCCUUGCCAGCGCUUCGCAGCUCUCGAAGUAAAUUAUCGCAGGAUGGCGGCCCUCACCUAGGAGAACCAGGAAGGCAGGCAGCGCUAGAACGACGGGAUUGAAUUUUACUAUUGCCAAAACAAUCACAUUCAAAUUCAUUCCACUUAAAACCUGAAAACAUUGGACCACACAAAGUCUUACUGAUUUCAGGUAAAAACAAUAAUUGAAGAUGUCCAGCAAAACAGCAAGCACCAACAAUAUAGCCCAGGCAAGGAGAACUGUGCAGCAGUUAAGAUUAGAAGCCUCCAUUGAAAGAAUAAAGGUUUCGAAGGCAUCAGCGGACCUCAUGUCCUACUGUGAGGAACAUGCCAGGAGUGACCCUUUGCUGAUAGGAAUACCAACUUCAGAAAACCCUUUCAAGGAUAAAAAAACUUGCAUCAUCUUAUAGUGGAAUAGAGAAACAGCUCCUCGCCUCUUCCCAACAAAGCAAAUUAUGAGCAGCUCCUUGAAGAGAUUUACCUUCAGCUUAUUUGGUAACCACUGCUAAUAACUAAAAUGUUCUCAACUUGGAAUAAUGGACUCUGAAGUCUCUAUUUUCUAAGUUGUCCUUUCUCUUAAAAUACCCUUUACUGAUUUAAUACAGAAUAACAAUCUUAUUUUCCACUUGGUAACUAUGGCUUUAUGUUGGGUUACUGUUUAAGGAAAGUUGAUCUGGGCCUUUUUAAAAACAUAAUUAUAUACUUUAGAAAUACAAGGGAUUCCGAUAUGUCAGGACCUAAAUUGCCUAAGCACCUGUCAAAUUAAAAUGCCAAAAUUCAUUGAAAUCCUAAAGCCUUGAUAUUAUAUUCUUUAUAAGGCGUGUGCCAGCCUGUAUAGUAUAUAAGGAAGAGCAGUGUUUUGUGUAUAUAUAUGCCUUUGUGUAUACACUUAUCAAAGCUAUUUUCUUAUGAAAACGUCCCUCUCUCCAUACCAUGUUUCUUGGUUCCAGAAGUUAUACCUUUAUUUUGAGCUGUGUAUAGGUAGAAUAAAAAAUUCCUUUCAUGUCAUUAUUGUACAAAAAGUAAAGAGUAUCCUAAAGAUUGUAUUCAUUGUAAUCAAGUAAUGCAAUCAUCUCUCCUCUCUUGAAAUCUUGCUGGACCUCUUAGGCUACAGUAAACUGCACCAAACUAAACUGACAGUCCUUCGAUAAUAUGAGACAUUAAUUUACAAGGACCCUUUAGGGCUUCAAUGAUGCUGAGUCUGGAAAAGGGGAGGAGACCCUUGGGAGGAUCCCAAGCAGCUGUGCUCCCAGGGCUCAUGUUCUCUACUGGAUUAGGGAUAGGCACCUCUGAAAUCUCCACCCUGAUGAUUGGAAUGAAACGGAGUGAACAUGAGCCCAGCUGAGAGAGGAGCAGGAAUGUAUGAAAACCAGCUGCUCUGCUUGUCCCAGCUUUGUGAUUGAACCCUCUGUCUUGCUCUCUCUGCCUUCCCUGUAUCUUUCCUCUCUUACCAGAGCAUCUGUUUGCAGAGGUUUCCCCAGCCACAGGUAUGUGGAACACGGUGAGGAAAAAAAAAAAUUUAAAAAAAAAUGCAAAGCUGUCAGGAUGCUUAAGCUCUUUUCAGAUAUCUGCAGUUUCAUCCCUACCUUGUUCACAUACCAUCCAAGAGGCACACAGGCUACCCAAGAGAGCCUUGGAUUCAGUGGUACACUCCUUGGGCCCAAGGGCUUCAGCAACUGGAUAUGGGGUUCCUUGAUUUUCCUCUGGGCCCAAAUAUAGCCCUCACACCCUUGAAAUUUCCGGGUAUGGGGGUAGCCCCAAAAGGAGGAAUCUCCUAUGGCCAAUAAGGUAUCUUGACUUUAUCAAAGUAGAAGAGAGGGUCACUUCGGGGUCAAAUCCUACACAAAGCCUUUGAUGUUUUAAUUCAUCUUCAGUUCAUUAAAAGUAACUACUAAGGAAAGGUUGAAAACUUCCUCUCAAAAAGGAAUCAACCCCAGAAGUAAUUAUUUACAAUGAUUUUCCCAAAUUUUGUACAAUCUGUCCUGGAAAGCAAACCCCUUUUAAAAUCUAAUGUCUGGGCUUUGAGUAUUAGCUCAUUUAGGGUGGACAAAUGCAUUACUUUUUUAAACUGCUCACAUUUAUUCAGUAUUUCUCCAAGUUGCUACCUACUCAGCCUUAUGAAUGCCCCUCGCUUUUCUAAGACCAUGUGAAAAUCACGGCACUGCCCUUAGCCUUGUGUCAUCUGCUUUUUCGUUCUGUGAUAUCCCCAAUCAAUUAUAGGUACCUGUUUAGGAGAGAGAAAGAUUUUACCUCUCAAAGGGUGAGAUUUGAAAUUUACACUAAAAAGACAACUUUACAUUUAAUGCUUCACUUAAUGAGACAUUCUUUUUUUUAUAAGUCUAUUUUUCUACUCAGUUUCAGAACACUAAUCUGAUUUUCACUCUGAUUUUUAACGUUUCUUUAAAUAUUUAUAAUGUAGCUUCUUUCAAAAUAUUUUCAUGAAAAAUUACUUUUAUUAUACCAUUAUGUGCACGUUAUCGGUAGCAGGCAUAGUGUAUUAUUUAGUACUGAAACAUGCUCUUUUACCUAACAGUAAACAAGUAUAUUUUGAUAUAUAUCUGUUAAUGUGCUUAUAGUGGUAAGAAAUGGACUUGAGGUCCCAGGAGAUUUCAUUUUAUUCGCCCUGGUCAGAUACAAUAGAGGCUAUGAGUAUAAAUAUGUAACUUCCUAACCAGGUGUAGGGCAUGUUCAUGAAUAUCAAAUCUUUUGAUGCUGGACCCAAGAGGGGAAAAAUUGUAGCUAAAUGUUGAUUUACUUAUAACUAGACGUCUAUGUGAGAAAAUAUAUGCAUACAUAUAUAUGAUAUGCAGAAGUCACUUUUAUUUAUCAGGCUUUAUUCUCCUUACAAAACCACAGUUUAACUGUCUGCAGCAGUUGGUUUAUGUUAAUGACAGACAAAUACCCAGUGUUUGUUAUUUUUUCCAACUACCACUGUAAUGAUAAACUUUCUCACGUAUAUACAUGCAACUUCUUGGCUUCAUUUCCAUGAAGCUAUUUCAAUAUAUUCAGUAUACUUUGUCCUUAAUGCUGCUUCUGUUAACAGUGAUCUCUUUCUUUUUUUCAUUCUUAUAUCUUCAUUAGUUCAUCAUAAAUCUGUCCAGUUGAGGCCUCAGGACCAUGGCAAGAUUUCAUGACUCCGAAGUAUUUUACAGAAACAUUUUUUAAAUAAGGGAAAUAUUUUAUAAUACCAGAUGGUUCACAAGUGAUGGGUCAUAGCUAGUUUUUUUUUUCUUCUAAAAAAUGUCAGGUUUUUAAAAUCACUUACCUUAUUAAAAUGAAAAGUGCCAUACUUAGCUUUUAAAGGAAAGACCUGACUUGCUUUGUCUCUAUUUAGACUGUUUUUGUACUUUACUAAUCUUUAAACUAUCAGGAAAAAAACCAAAACUUUAUACCAAUGAUUUAGUAAUUUUGAGGCAUAGGGUAGCUUACGUAGUGGAGGAUGUGCCAAAUAUUCUCUUCAAAUGCCACCUUCUCAAUCAAUUUAUAACUAAAAUAGUGUUAUCUGACUAAUUCCUCUGAAUUUUGAUGUAAAAUCUGUAUAGGCCCCCAAAAUGAUUAUAGUACAUGCCAGUCAUUUCUCAGUGAAAUAAAUAUAAUACCAGAGUACAUUAUGGGUUUUAUUGCUUUCUUUUAUGGUAGACCUGUUUAUGGGGAAAAAAAUACAUCAAAUCAAAUAGAAUCUUAUAUCUGUAUGUUAAAAUAGAGCACUUACCUGAAGUCAGUGGCCUGGAUCGUAGCCCUGGAUCAUUUCCCAGUCUGUCCUGUGCUGUGUGACCUUGGACAAGGCGCUUCAUCUCUCUGGGCCUCUAUUUCUCCAUUUGUAAAACAAGUGGCUGCAGUAGAUGAUGGCUGAGAGCCUUUCCUGUUCCCAGAUGCCUUGGUCCAAAGACCCCACCCCUCUGCUGGUCCUGCCAACGUGUUGGUGCUAUAAGCUGCUUCAGAUAUAAAAUUGGCUUAUCUAUAAUGUUUGUUCAUUUAAUAGCUUCUAAAAGGCCUUUUUGUUAUACAGUGCUUGUUUUCUAGUUUUAUGGACUUGGUUACUGUAAUAAUGUCUUGUUUUUAGCCAUGUAACUACAAACAGAUAUUCUCUUGAUGUCUUAGUAAAUUUGCAUUUGAUAUAUCAUUGAUGAGAUUUUGUUGUUAUGUAGUAUUCUUUGGCUGCUCAUCUGUCCAGCAUCUUAUUAACCAUAAUACUGUGAUCAUUAUUUGGAAAUAUGUCCUAUGGAAAGAAUAAAAGCAUUUACUUCACAGCUAGCAUGUUCACAGAUUUGAAAGAAGUUUCAUUAAAAGCACCAUUGCUU